UAUGGCCAUAUCAUGUUCAAACACUGGUUCACAUAUGAUCACCAAAGUUAAGUAACACUGAGCCUGGUCAGUACCUAGAUGGGUGACCACUUGGGAAUACUUAGUGCUGUUA